rnacentral:rRNA from 1 species
AAACUGAAGAGUUUGAUCAUGGCUCAGAUUGAACGCUGGCGGCAGGCUUAACACAUGCAAGUCGAGCGGAUGAAGGGAGCUUGCUCCUGGAUUCAGCGGCGGACGGGUGAGUAAUGCUUAGGAAUCUGCCUAUUAGUGGGGGACAACAUUUCGAAAGGGAUGCUAAUACCGCAUACGCCCUACGGGGGAAAGCAGGGGAUCUUCGGACCUUGCGCUAAUAGAUGAGCCUAAGUCAGAUUAGCUAGUUGGUGGGGUAAAGGCCUACCAAGGCGACGAUCUGUAGCGGGUCUGAGAGGAUGAUCCGCCACACUGGGACUGAGACACGGCCCAGACUCCUACGGGAGGCAGCAGUGGGGAAUAUUGGACAAUGGGGGGAACCCUGAUCCAGCCAUGCCGCGUGUGUGAAGAAGGCCUUUUGGUUGUAAAGCACUUUAAGCGAGGAGGAGGCUCUUCUAGUUAAUACCUAGGAUGAGUGGACGUUACUCGCAGAAUAAGCACCGGCUAACUCUGUGCCAGCAGCCGCGGUAAUACAGAGGGUGCGAGCGUUAAUCGGAUUUACUGGGCGUAAAGCGUACGUAGGCGGCUUUUUAAGUCGGAUGUGAAAUCCCUGAGCUUAACUUAGGAAUUGCAUUCGAUACUGGGAAGCUAGAGUAUGGGAGAGGAUGGUAGAAUUCCAGGUGUAGCGGUGAAAUGCGUAGAGAUCUGGAGGAAUACCGAUGGCGAAGGCAGCCAUCUGGCCUAAUACUGACGCUGAGGUACGAAAGCAUGGGGAGCAAACAGGAUUAGAUACCCUGGUAGUCCAUGCCGUAAACGAUGUCUACUAGCCGUUGGGGCCUUUGAGGCUUUAGUGGCGCAGCUAACGCGAUAAGUAGACCGCCUGGGGAGUACGGUCGCAAGACUAAAACUCAAAUGAAUUGACGGGGGCCCGCACAAGCGGUGGAGCAUGUGGUUUAAUUCGAUGCAACGCGAAGAACCUUACCUGGUCUUGACAUAGUAAGAACUUUCCAGAGAUGGAUUGGUGCCUUCGGGAACUUACAUACAGGUGCUGCAUGGCUGUCGUCAGCUCGUGUCGUGAGAUGUUGGGUUAAGUCCCGCAACGAGCGCAACCCUUUUCCUUAUUUGCCAGCGGUUCGGCCGGGAACUUUAAGGAUACUGCCAGUGACAAACUGGAGGAAGGCGGGGACGACGUCAAGUCAUCAUGGCCCUUACGACCAGGGCUACACACGUGCUACAAUGGUCGGUACAAAGGGUUGCUACCUCGCGAGAGGAUGCUAAUCUCAAAAAGCCGAUCGUAGUCCGGAUUGGAGUCUGCAACUCGACUCCAUGAAGUCGGAAUCGCUAGUAAUCGCGGAUCAGAAUGCCGCGGUGAAUACGUUCCCGGGCCUUGUACACACCGCCCGUCACACCAUGGGAGUUUGUUGCACCAGAAGUAGGUAGUCUAACCGUAAGGAGGACGCUUACCACGGUGUGGCCGACGACUGGGGUGAAGUCGUAACAAGGUAGCCGUAGGGGAACCUGCGGCUGGAUCACCUCCUUA